UACGAAGGGGGCUAGCGUUGCUCGGAAUCACUGGGCGUCAAGGGCGCGUAGGCGGCCAAGUAAGUUGGGGGUGAAAGCCCGUGGCUCAACCACGGAAUUGCCUUCGAUACUGCUUGGCUUGAGACCGGAAGAGGUGAGUGGAACUGCGAGUGUAGAGGUGAAAUUCGUAGAUAUUCGCAAGAACACCAGUGGCGAAGGCGGCUCACUGGUCCGGAUCUGACGCUGAGGCGCGAAAGCGUGGGGAGCAAACAGG
rnacentral:rRNA from 1 species